rnacentral:lncRNA from 1 species
GCUCAUCUUUACAAAAGCUAUUGGAUUGAACAUGGUGCACACAAAUUCAUUGAAAUGGCAGAUGCAUCUGUUGCUAUCUCCUUCUUUGCAUUUGUAACCUUUGCCUUAGCUUCUCUUGUCUCUGGUUUCAUCCUAUUUAGGUUCACAAUCACAUAGUAAUAAUUACUCUAAAUAUAUGUCACAUAUAGAUAAUUGAGACAAUUAAAUUUCAAGUAUACAAUGGACAAAUGAUGAAGCUUUAUAUGUGUCAAGUAUACAAUGGACGAAUGAUGAAACUUUAUCAUUCCUGAAUUUUGCAGAUUUUCAUAUUUUAAGAAAUAAGGUUUGUUUCAGAGGAUCUUUUACUUUUCAAAAAUGAUAAAAUAUUACUCUAUCGGUACAUUUUAAGGGUUACUUUUGACCGUUCUACACAUGCCAAAACACAACUUUGAUCGUUAAUAUAUUUAAUUAACUAUUAUAAAUAGUUAUGAAAAUUUUAUAUCUUGAAAAUAUUCGUCGAGAAAAAUUGAACAAUAUAUUAUCUGCUAACCUUUAUUUUUAUAUAUUAAUAAAAAUUUAUGAUCAAAAUAUAUUAUGUUAAUAGAAUACAAUAGUCGAAAGUGACACUUAAAAAAGAGCGGAGGGAGUAUAACUUUUUUAUGCAGAAGCAUAAGUUUAAUUUAUAAAUUGAAAAUAUUAACAAACUUUUUCUCCAAAUGUAAUUGGAGAGCUAUGUUGAAAAUAUAUGCCGACCACAAAUUUGAUUUUCCUCAUCUCCCCUCAUUUCCCCUUUGUUUUAGGCGAUCGAGUUUUAUUGUGGAUCACAAUUAUAAGUGGUCUAUAGUAAACUAAUACUUAAAAAACAUUAUAAUUCUAACAACGAUUGAUAAUACUCGUAAGAAGUACGUAUUAGCGAUUAUGUAUUUUGAGGAAUAGCGACAUCAUUAGCUCUCAAUUCUACGGCAAUUUUGAUUGAUCGAGAAAGAAAUUCAAAAGGAACUUGAUUUUUCGUGCAAUAGUUAGAUAAUUGAGACAAUUAAAUUUCAUUAAAAUAGUUUCAUUAGCACCCAAGAUAUUAUAAUAUGUGAUUGUUAAUUAAAUGACGCGCAUUUGGUAGGAUGAAGGGGCGAGGAAGGACGGGAGAUCGAAUAUCUAACCAUUGUUAGGCUUGGCAGGAGGAAAUUGAUGUUGUCGUCUUCUAACUUCUAAGGAGUGGACCAAUUGAAGGGCGACAAUAAAUUCGAAUAGAUAUAGUUGGACAUAUGAGGAUUUACAGGACACAUUAGAGGAAUGUUGGACGGAUAGAAGGGGUGGUGCGAUGAGGAUUCAUGGAGCUUAAAGGGUUCAAGGGCAAGGCAAAGUCGGCAUAAGUGUUUGGACAGAUGAAAAUGGUCGAAAAUGUGUUUAUCUCUCUCAUAAAUUAACAAAUAAUAGAGGACAGUUGAGCCGAUGAAAACGGUUGAAAGUGACGCUGCUGGCUGGAGUGGCUGCUAUUAUGAAAAUAGUUGGUUAUGUACAUACUCCUAUAGAAAAAAAUUAAUAACGACAAAAAAAGUAUAUGAGUGUACAUAAUUUUUUCACGUAAUAAAAGAAAUGAAGAAUUCUUUGAUAUCCAUGAAAAAG